ACCUAGCCCUGAUAGAAGCGGCAUCCUUUUUCUGGCUUCUUUAGCCAGGAAAAGAUAGAGCGGAUAGCAGGAGAGAGC
rnacentral:sRNA from 1 species